rnacentral:rRNA from 1 species
GGGGGGGGCAAGCGUUGUUCGGAAUUACUGGGCGUAAAGGGCUCGUAGGUGGCCAACUAAGUCAGACGUGAAAUCCCCAGGCUUAACCUGGGAACUGCGUCUGAUACUGGAUGGCUUGAAUUCGGGAGAGGGAUGCAGAAUUCCAGGUGUAGCGGUGAAAUGCGUAGAUAUCUGGAGGAAUACCGGUGGCGAAGGCGGCAUCCUGGACCGAGAUUGACACUGAGGAGCGAAAGCCAGGGGAGCAAACGGGAUUAGAUACCCCGGUAGUCCUGGCCCUAAAUGAUGAAUGCUUGGUGUGACGGGUAUCGAUCCCUGUCGUGCCGAAGCUAACGCAUUAAGCAUUCCGCCUGGGGAGUACGGUCGCAAGGCUG